CACGUAGGGCGCAAGCGUUGUCCGGAAUUAUUGGGCGUAAAGAGCUCGUAGGCGGUCUGUUGCGUCCGCUGUGAAAACCCGGGGCUUAACCCUGGGCUGGCAGUGGAUACGGACAGACUAGAGGUAGGUAGGGGAGAAUGGAAUUCCCGGUGUAGCGGUGAAAUGCGUAGAGAUGUGGAGGAACACCAGUGGCGAAGGCGACUCUUUGGCCUGUAACUGACGCUGAGGCGCGAAAGCGUAGGGAGCAAACAGG
rnacentral:rRNA from 1 species